rnacentral:rRNA from 1 species
AUUGAACGCUGGCGGCAUGCUUUACACAUGCAAGUCGAACGGUAACAGGCCGCAAGGUGCUGACGAGUGGCGAACGGGUGAGUAAUGCAUCGGAACGUGCCCAGUCGUGGGGGAUAACUGCUCGAAAGAGCAGCUAAUACCGCAUACGAUCUAUGGAUGAAGGCGGGGGACCGUAAGGCCUCGCGCGAUUGGAGCGGCCGAUGUCAGAUUAGGUAGGUGGUGGGGUAAAGGCACACCAAGCCAACGAUCUGUAGCUGGUAUGAGAGGACGACCAGCCACACUGGGACUGAGAGACGGCCCAGACUCCGACGGGAGGCAGCAGUGGGGAAUUUUGGACAAUGGGGGCAACCCUGAUCCAGCAAUGCCGCGUGCAGGAAGAAGGCCUUCGGGUUGUAAACUGCUUUUGUACGGAACGAAACGGUCUGGGUUAAUACCCUGGGCUAAUGACGGUACCGUAAGAAUAGGCACCGGCUAACUACGUGCCAGCCGCCGCAGUAACA